CAGCAGCCGCGGUAAUACGUAGGGUGCGAGCGUUAAUCGGAAUUACUGGGCGUAAAGCGUGCGCAGGCGGUUUUGUAAGACAGAGGUGAAAUCCCCGGGCUCAACCUGGGAACUGCCUUUGUGACUGCAAGGCUAGAGUACGGCAGAGGGGGAUGGAAUUCCGCGUGUAGCAGUGAAAUGCGUAGAUAUGCGGAGGAACACCGAUGGCGAAGGCAAUCCCCUGGGCCUGUACUGACGCUCAUGCACGAAAGCGUGGGGAGCAAACAGGAUUAGAUACCCGAGUAGUCCCUGUCUCUUAUAC
rnacentral:rRNA from 1 species